rnacentral:rRNA from 1 species
UCCCGAGCGUUNUCCGGAUUUAUUGGGCGUAAAGCGAGCGCAGGCGGUUAGAUAAGUCUGAAGUUAAAGGCAGUGGNUCAACCAUUGUAGGCUUUGGAAACUGUUUAACUUGAGUGCAGAAGGGGAGAGUGGAAUUCCAUGUGUAGCGGUGAAAUGCGUAGAUAUAUGGAGGAACACCGGUGGCGAAAGCGGCUCUCUGGUCUGUAACUGACGCUGAGGCUCGAAAGCGUGGGGAGCGAACAGGAUUAGAUACCCUGGUAGUNCACGCCGUAAACGAUGAGUGCUAGGUGUUAGGUCCUUUCCGGGACUUAGUGCCGCAGCUAACGCAUUAAGCACUCCGCCUGGGGAGUACGACCGCAAGGUUGAAACUCAAAGGAAUUGACGGGGGCCCGCACAAGCGGUGGAGCAUGUGGUUUAAUUCGAAGCAACGCGAAGAACCUUACCAGGUCUUGACAUCCCGAUGCCCGCUCUAGAGAUAGAGCUUUACUUCGGUACAUCGGUGACAGGUGGUGCAUGGUUGUCGUCAGCUCGUGUCGUGAGAUGUUGGGUUAAGUCCCGCAACGAGCGCAACCCUUAUUGUUAGUUGCCAUCAUUCAGUUGGGCACUCUAGCGAGACUGCCGGUAAUAAACCGGAGGAAGGUGGGGAUGACGUCAAAUCAUCAUGCCCCUUAUGACCUGGGCUACACACGUGCUACAAUGGCUGGUACAACGAGUCGCAAGCCGGUGACGGCAAGCUAAUCUCUGAAAGCCAGUCUCAGUUCGGAUUGUAGGCUGCAACUCGCCUACAUGAAGUCGGAAUCGCUAGUAAUCGCGGAUCAGCACGCCGCGGUGAAUACGUUCCCGGGCCUUGUACACACCGCCCGUCGCACCACGAGAGUUUGUAACACCCGAAGU